UCACAAUAAAGUGAUACAUAGGGGAGAAAAAAAAACACAUAUAAAGAAAGCUGAAAAGACCGAUAGUAUCUCAAGGUAGUUGUCGGCGUUGAUUUCCACCAUUUUUCCCGGCAAAAACAAGGCCAUCGUCCAUUUUUUCCAGCCAUUUCUCAAAAUUUUCGGCAAUUCUUCUUUCUGGUAGAAGGUUCAAGAAUGAUUUGUUAGAUGUCGUUUGGAAGCAAUGAGCACAUUUACAAGAUUCUUGACAUGGGCAAAAGAUCAGCUAGUUGAGCAAAAUAGUUUGGGUAGGACUAUGAAUGUUGAUCAGACAAUGAAACUAAGAGAUAUUGUGCAGAAAGACUGCUGAGUUGACAAAGUAGAUCAAAGAGAUAAAAUCUCAAGAGAAAAAGGAAAGUUACAAAUUAUACCAUGAACUAGAACCUAGAUGGAAAUCUGAAGUAAAUGAUCAAAUAAGAGACAAAGAGACAGAAAGAUAAAACUUACAAAGGGCUUAGAGGAUUCAACAGCAGUCAAUUUGAGGUGUUAGUUUCGGUCUUUGACAAUGGCAGUGAGUGACUUAGCUUCGGUCUUCAACAAUGGCGUUAUGAUUGGCUUAGCUUCGGUCUUCAACGAUGAUGGUUGUCGGAGAUGUCAAUGAUGUUCGUGGUGAUGUUAGGAUUGAGAACUGAAAGUUGAAAGAUGUGAAUAAUGAAAAGGGAAAGGUCGUGAAUGUUAAAAAUUAGGGAUUUUGAAUAGAAAAGUUAUUUUUGUAAUUUUGGUACUCUAACUAAUUAUAUUUGGCCAUUUUGUUAAAAUUUUCAAAA